rnacentral:rRNA from 1 species
UACAGAGGGUGCAAGCAUUAAUCGGAUUUACUGGGCGUAAAGGGCGCGUAGGCGGGUUUAUAAGUCAAAUGUGAAAUUCCGGAGCUCAACUCCGGAACUGCCCUUGAUACUCCCGCGCUUGAGAACUGGAGGGGACAUCGGAAUUCACGGUGGAGCAGUGAAAUGCGUGGAUAUCGUGAGGAACACUAGUGGCGAAGGCGGAUGUCUGGACAGUAUCUGACGCUGAGGCACGAAGGCCAGGGGAGCGAACGGG